AAGCUGUACAAGUUUCUGGUGCGGCGGACGGGGAGCAAGUUCAACGCGGUGAUUCUGAAGAGGCUCUUCAUGAGCAAGGCGAACAAGCCGCCGAUUUCUCUCAAGAGGCUCAUAAAUUUCAUGUCUGGCAAGGGUGAUCAGAUUGCUGUGAUCGUGGGGACGGUGACGGACGACAAGAGGGUGUAUGAGGUUCCGGCGAUGAAGGUUACUGCGCUGAGGUUUACCGAGACUGCUAGGGCUAGGAUUGUCAAGGCUGGCGGGGAAUGCCUUACCUUUGAUCAGCUUGCUCUUAGGGCUCCUCUUGGGCAGAACACGAUGCUUUUGCGUGGUCCUAAGAAUGCUAGGGAGGCGGUGAGACACUUUGGUAAGGCUCCUGGAGUGCCCCAUAGUCACACUAAGCCUUAUGUUCGUGCAAAGGGGCGUAAGUUUGAGAAGGCUCGUGGUAGGAGGAACAGCAGAGGUUAUAAGGUUUGAAUGUCAUAUUGUUUUGUAUCCGAAACUGGUAUCUUAUGCCUUCUUAG
rnacentral:misc_RNA from 1 species